AGUGCGGAGAGAAAGUUGUUGCGUAUUUCUCGCAAAAACUCUCUCCGGCACAACAAGCUUACGCAGCCUCCGAGAAAGAAGGUCUAGCGGUUCUGACCGCAAUUAACAAAUUUCGUCCCUAUGUCGAAGGUACACGGUUUGUCGUUAUAACCGACGCCUCUGCACUAACCCAUAUUAUGAAUGGGAAGUGGCGUACUUCGUCGCGUCUUAGCCGAUGGAGCAUCGAGCUGCAGGGAAAUGAUUUUGAAAUUCGACACCGAAGGGGGAAGGACAAUGUUAUCCCGGACGCGCUCUCGCGUUCGAUGGAGAUCGCCUCUCUAGAAGAAGGAGACGCAUGGUACUCCUCUCAGUAUGAAAAAGUUAUCUCUGCUCCUGAUGAGCACGUUGAUUACAAAGUGGAAGGGGGGAAACUGUACAAGUUUGUGCCGAGUAAGACCGAAGUUCUUGAUUUCCGUUUUGAAUGGAAGCUCUGUGUUCCGGAGAAGUCGCGAGAAGAGAUUCUCCGAAAAGAGCACGACGAAGGAUUCCACAUAGGCUACGAAAAGUUGCUGGACCGAAUCCGCACGAGAUACUUUUGGCCGAAGAUGGCCACCUCCAUACGGAAAUAUGUUGAACGGUGCCGAGCCUGUAAAGAGUACAAGCCCACUACAAUCUCCCAGCAUCCAGUCAUGGGAAACCAACGACUGGCUACGAAGCCUUUCCAAAUGCUGGCGAUUGAUUUCAUCCAAUCGCUGCCAAGAUCAAAAACUGGCCAUACCCACCUGUUAGUUUUAUUAGACGUUUUUUUCAAAAUGGACGGUUUUAGUCCCGGUGAGAAAAAUCUCAGCAGAUCUUGUAAUCAAGAUACUCGAGGAACAAUGGUUCCGCCGCUUUUCUGUUCCGGAGAUCCUGAUAAGCGACAACGCAACGAGCUUUUUGAGCAACACGUUCAAAGAUUUUUUAACCCGGUAUCAAGUAAAGCACUGGACGAACUCUCGGCAUCACAGCCAGGCCAAUCCGGUCGAGCGCUUGAACCGGAGUAUUAACUCGUGCAUCCGAACAUACGUAAAGGCUGAUCAGCGUAUGUGGGACACGAAAAUCUCAGAGGUGGAACACACACUAAAUAACACCACACAUUCAUCCACUGGUCUGACACCGUAUAUGAUUGUAUUCGGGCAUGAAAUUGUUUCCAGCGGUGCGGAGCACCGUCGUGAUCCCGAUACUUCUGAUAUUUUCGAAGCUGAAAGAGUGGAAAGAAAAUUAAAAGUGGACCAGCAAAUCCAAAACAUUGUCAGCAAAAACUUAGCCAAAGCCCAUGAGAAAAGUUCCAGAGCUUAUAAUCUUCGGUUCCGAAAGCCUGCUCCCGUGUAUCAGGUGGGACAGAAUGUUUAUAAGCGAAAUUUCGCUCAAUCUGUGGCUGGAGAAGCCUAUAAUGCAAAAUUAGGUCCAGCUUAUACGCCAUGCACUAUUAUAUCUCGUCGAGGCACGAGCUCCUAUGAGCUAAUUGAUGAGCAAGGCAAGAACCUUGGCGUUUUUUCUUCGGCUGAUCUGAAGCCUGGUAUCCCCGAUGAUAAUUAGGAGUUUGUCCAGCUUCUCUGCUAUUUUAGAUGUCUAGUUCCAAUGUAAUUUGUUGAUUAAGUCCAAAAUUGUAUAGAGUCUUCGUGAGUUUGCGUACGCGUCCCUUGUUGAUAUGAUGAUCAUCGCCUAUUGUGAGUUGUAUAGCAAAUAUUGUGUAAGUGAAAAAGCGAAUCUGAUGAGUUAAGAAUGUCUUGCUGUUUUGAAAGUACCGUCUAUCUUUAUAGUUGUCUCUUUUUGUCAAACAAUAGAAUAAUAAUAGUCAAUCGUUAGUUGAAGAAGCAGAAGCGACAGGGAAAUUUGACCGAUCAGCGAUAAACAACAACAAAUGAAAAAUUUCUAGAUCGCGAUGCGCAGUAGCUACGGAUCCAGUGAUCUGCCCUGCCUUUUCAAAUGAUGAAAAUAAGAAACCACUUACCACCUCUUACCACCCACUAUCUAGCUCUGAAAACACAAAAAAAAAGAUUUCGGCAAGAUCAACAUUCGAAAAUCCAACCAUCAGGAGAUUUCGUUUUGAUAUAAAGAAAAGAUUUAGCUCUUCCUCGAAACAAUCUAGGUUUCGGACAUUGGAAGAGGAUGAGAUUGAAUAACCAUUUCGCGAAUUUAAGAUUGCGUUAACAAAAGUCCUUCUAUUGAAGCAAGGCGACUGUUUGUUAAUAAGACGUAAUUUAGGUUGAUUUUUGUGAAUAUUCGAGAGCAUUAAAGUUGCGACUCAAUCCUGGGAUGACUCUAAAUGAAUUCAACAAGUGAAAAAUUAAUCAAAACCUUGUUUUGAUUAAUUUUAGAGGGGGGAGAUGAGGUAGUGUUACCGUUGGGCAUAAAUGUACUUAUCUAAACUGCCGUGGCUAGAUAUAUGUUCGAAAGAAUAUUUGAAUUGACAGUUAAAGAUAUUUGUUGUCUGUUUUUAAAUUCAUGUUAUUUAUAUUAUACACCAAUAUUGCCCUGAAAUUAGAAAGUUACCUAGUUUAAAAAAAUAUAUGAAGCAUGCACACUUAAAUAAAUAUAUAAAUUAAUUAAAAACCGAUUGUUAGAUAAAACCUAGAACAAAAUUUGUAAAACACAUUUCGAACACAACACAGAACACUAUAAAAACUGCUGCAGGGGAACCUGUUCGAAAGAUUGUCGCGAGUUGGAAAAAGGACGGCAGAAAAGGAGCUAAAAAGGGAAAAUCGCAUGAAAAGGGUAGGCUACUGGGUACAAUGAGAAUCAGACUCGGUCUCUUUCCGAUAGAAAACGCCAAAGUUAGUGGACGUGAUUAUUAGCUGAAAGUCGCCUAGCAAAGUUUGAGCAAACCUUUACGGUGCCCACAAUUAUACCGGAUCAAGGAAAGAGUUUUGAGUACAGUGCGUACCCGAUAUAUACAACGAAUCAGGACCCAGUAGCGCUUGGCUCGCACGUUUUACAUCCAAGCCAAGUUUCGCCAUAGCGGACCAAGUCCCGCCAAGAAGUCCGGAAGCUGAGUCCGGGCGAACGAUAGCCGACCGUGGCCCUACGGUCAAGGUAUUCUGACCUCGAGUACGUCUUGAAUCGAGGCCAGAGGUGUAUCGACCCAACCGUCGGACGAAGGCAAUUCCCGACGUGAAAUCUGCCCUGGAGAACCCCCGCCGACCUUCGAAAGUGACGCCAAUCCCACUUUACCGAGGCCAAGCCAGGCCUUGUCAGCUCCAGCUGGUAACACCCCCAUCGAGGAGCGACCCGCAGUUCCCCAGCAGCAUCAGUAACCGCCGGCCGGCCCACCGUACAGCGCACACCACACCCACACACACAACUUAGUGAGUAAUUCUAAAAUAAAACCUGGUUAAGAGUAAUUAGCGCGUGUAGACUUUCAUUGAGCCCUUGAUUAGCCUCUCGAGAAUAGCCGACCCUGUGAUAAAGAGGCGGAUGUAGCCCACCCCACACGACUUCCGAGGCCGUGACCAGAAGUUAGGGGCAUAAGAAUUAACAAGCUUCAACAUCCAAAACUUGUUUUCAUUGAGAUAUUUCAUUGUGGUAGAGCAUUAUGAUCCCUUCUUUCAAAUAUCUGUGGAAUAUGAUUCUUUCUUCCCUCUUUCAAACAAUCCUAUGAUCCACCAAAGCAUCCACCUAUUCGGCACACAUUUUCCGACGAAAUGAUAAAUAAUUGGUGAUUUUUUGAUGGACAAGUUCCCAAUCCAAUCCAGCUGCAGUAAUGUUUUCUUUGGUGCUUUUGGAUGAGUAGGGGAAAAUGAAGAAACAAAAAAGAUGCACAAAUUUGUAAACAGAAGCAUAGGCUCUGUAAGAGAGAGACAAAAUGUGUUGCCAAAUGCGUAACAUAUCUCCCAACCUUUUUGCUCCUAGCAUUUAAAGAGCAGUUGAAAAGCAUUCUGAUUGCUCGCAAGUGAAAACACUUCAAGCAGUUGAAAUGCUAAUUAACAGCCAAAAGCUUUUGAGCAGCACAGCUUAUGCUAACUCAAGGCAGUUAUGCAUUCGAACUGCUUAUGUAGGGCAGCAAGCAGUUUAAAUGCAUAAUACGGGCUGAUACACGGCUUAUUCAAAUGCUUAGUGGUUACCUGGGUGAUGACACUGCCGUGGAACCUGUUGUAGAUGUUCUGGGGUGGUCAUAUUAGUUGAUGCAAACUUCAGGGUAUCGUUUCUGACUGAGUCAUUCGAAAUCAUGAAGUUUGAUAUGUCGCUUGUUAUGCUUUGGAUGAAAACCAGAAAUGUCCCCAAUGAGGCCCCCAUGGAACCUGUCAUGGUGAUCCGGAUGGGCCAACUUCAAAUCUGGUUAUCGAAGUUGUGUUUAAUUGUUCACAAUAAAAAUUCCGCUGAAAAUCAAUGGUUUAAACACAAUAACACAGGAAAUAAUCACUUUUAGGCAUUUCGGCAAUCUCCCCCCCCCCCCUGACCCCAGUACAAUCCGGAAUAUCUCCAGAAUGGUUCCCGAUAUUGCAUGGCCACUUGGGUGUAAUAAACUUGCACCAAAUUAUGAUCGAUUGAGGGCGACUUCAAAAAAAAUGGAUGGAAAUUGACGAAAUGCCAGCAUUUUGAAAAUGAGAUAUUGGGAUCAGGUACGAGAUGGAAGCGAAUUCCACUUCCCAGCUCCUCAGACGAUAGAUCAUAUAAAAAUAAACUAAAAAAGCCAAGAGUUGCCCUAAAGCGUUCAAAAUUAAUACAUUUUGAAACGUUUUAGAGUAUGACAAUGCUCAGAAGUUGUAUUCAAAAUAUCACGAAAAUCAUAAAGAAGAUACAACUGAUCUAGAUCACUUCCAAUAUAUCUAGACCAGAUUGGAUUGUACUAAAAUAUUACUCUAAUAAAACCAAUGUUACUUCUCAAAGACGAGAUACCUCUACGAAGCAUAACCAGAGCCGUAAGAGAUUUUUCGAACAAAGGAUGGAGCCUAAAGAAGUUAAAUCACGUACUUUAUAAAUGAACCCUAGGGCCUUAUGUUAUUUUCCAGCAAUCCUGGCAUUUUAAACAUAAUAUUGCUUGAUUUUUAAAUGAUAUUUGUGAUAAAAAAUAUUGCCUCGAUAGUACGUACGUUUCGAUAGUACGUACACUAAACGAAGCGAUGGUGUACGUACUAUCGAGGUAUGCCUGUAUUUCUAUGAACAAAAUAUCCAAUUUACAAAACUAUCUAUGAAUCCACAGCAAUAAGCGAAAUAGCGUACGUAUUGGUCGGCUUUCAUACAAAUUGCUCAAAUCUGCUCAAUAUAAGCUUUUGAAUCAAAUGACCAAAAAUAUUACAACAUUUUUACAAAAAAAAAAUCAAAUGUACGAAAAAAGGAACUUUAAGUCUACAGUAGUUAAUAAAAUUGCGUCCGGUAUUGAUCGACUAUUAUACAAAUUGCUGAAAUGUGGAAGAAUGAACACCAGGUUUUAAAA